rnacentral:rRNA from 1 species
UACGUAGGCAGCGAGCGUUGUUCGGAGUUACUGGGCGUAAAGGGCGUGUAGGCGGUUCGGUAAGUGAGAUGUGAAAUCCUCCGGCUCACCCGGAGACCUGCAUCUCAAACUGCCGGACUAGAGUAUGGGAGAGGACAAGGGAAUUCCCGGUGUAGUGGUGAAAUGCGUAGAUAUCGGGAGGAACACCAGUGGCGAAGGCGGCUUCCUGGCCUGUUCUUGACGCUGAGGCGCGAAAGCUAGGGGAGCAAACGGG